CACGACCCCAGGUCAGGCGGGGU
rnacentral:rRNA from 1 species